rnacentral:rRNA from 1 species
UGUUUCCUACGGGGGGCAGCAGUGAGGAAUAUUGGUCAAUGGCCGGAAGGCUGAACCAGCCAAGCCGCGUGAAGGACGAAGGUGCCAAGCAUUGUAAACUUCUUUUGUCAAGGGACAAAAUCAGGCUCGAGAGCCUGACCGAGGGUACUUGAAGAAAAAGCAUCGGCUAACUCCGUGCCAGCAGCCGCGGUAAUACGGAGGAUGCGAGCGUUAUCCGGAUUUAUUGGGCGUAAAGCGAGCGCAGGCGGAGAAAUAAGUCUGAUGUGAAAGCCCACGGCUCAACCGUGGAACUGCAUCGGAAACUG